rnacentral:rRNA from 1 species
UACGAGGGGGGCAAGCGUUGUUCGGAAUUAUUGGGCGUAAAGGGUGCGUAGGCGGUUUGGUAAGUCUUAUGUGAAAUCUAACAGGCUCAACUUGUAGUCUGCAUGAGAAACUGCCGGGCUUGAGUAUGGGAGAGGUGAGUGGAAUUCCUGGUGUAGCGGUGAAAUGCGUAGAUAUCAGGAGGAACACCUGUGGCGAAAGCGGCUCACUGGACCAUAACUGACGCUGAUGCACGAAAGCUAGGGGAGCAAACAGG